UAGAAGUUCAUGAGGCCUACCUUUCGUCGAUCCAACGGCAAUGUUUCGUCGGCCCAGAUAAGCUAUGGGCUCUGAUUGCAAGUAGAGUGAAGAGCAUUCUUGGAUUAGCUCUAGAUUUUCACUCCAUACAGCAGAGCCUGCACAGUGUGGGAGCAGCUCCAGCUAUCAGGGCAAGAUGCGAAAUGGAAGUGGAUCGAAUCGAGAAGCAGUUCGACGAUUGCAUCGCCUUUCUUCUUCGAAUCUUAUCUUUUAAGCUCAAUGUAGGGCACUUUCCCCACCUGGCUGAUUUGGUGACUAGAAUAAACUACAACUACUUCUACAUGUCUGACAGUGGAAACUUGCUAACUGUUCCUAGCUUUGAAGGUGCCAAACUUGGGAGGAAUUUGCCCUCUUGAGCUGACUGAUCAAGGCAUAUAGGAAUUUUGCCCUCUCUGUACUGGCUAUUUUAUUUUUUAGAUUUUUAUACAAUGAAAAAAAUUAGAUUUUUGGCGGUUA